AACAGCCAUGCCCACAUUCAGCUGUUCAGCUCUUUGUCCCCUGCCAGAUCUUCUCACCUCUUUGUAGUUUUUCUCUGUGACUGGUAUAGUGGCACUUUUUACAUCGGAUGGAAAGGAUCCAUGCCAGGCCUCUUUUUUCCUUCCCAUGCUGAUUCCAGUCGAGUAGACCAUCACAGUCUGGAAACUUAUGUGUGCAUGAUACAACUUCCUAGAUGGUGUGUAGGCUGUUUAUCAACAUGUGAAACCCAUGUGUAUUUCAGGGUUGGAGUAGUUUCCUCUGUUAAAGAUCAAUAAUUCACAACAUACAAUGCGGCAUGCAGUCUGGUCAUCAAUGGAGAGUUUUGACACCUGUAUACUUGUAUUCUACCAGUCAUCUUUGUAGCCUUUGUUGUGUUCAUCAGACAGGCUUUAGGUGAAAGUGGUCUGUCACUGAGUCAACAAUUACUGUGACCCAAUAUUUGGUGCCAUUCACAAGCAGAAAAAUAUACAUAAAGCCAACAUUCAUCAUGUUUGAUCUUAAACUACACGACUACCAGUGUUGUAUAACUGGAGCCCUGCCCAGUAUUACUCAAACGUGAGCUAUGGGGAGAGAGUCCAGAGAUAUUUCCCCUAUGGAUGUGUUUCAAAGAAUUCUGAUGGACCUUGGAGCCGUGUCAGUUAUAGGAGAUCAUUUCACUACUUGUGUUUUUCCAAAAAUUUCCAUGUGACCUAGAGAUGGACUCUGGAUAUUUUAUUGAUUUCUCAUAUGGCCUGAAGCAGGACAAACCACCAGGAAUACUAUGUGAAAGAACCUUUAUAAUUUUUGGAUGGUUGUGGGAAUUUGAUGUAUUAUUGUAGUGUAUAACCAUGACAUUUUCCAUGAUAUAUCCUAGGAUGAUAGAAGAAUUCAUUUUGCUAGAUAUUUGUUUAAGAUUACUUAGGCUUACUAUUUUAUCUGAAUGAGACAGAAUCAUUCAGAGAGCAUUUAAUUAUUUUUUUUAUCUAGAAGU